rnacentral:rRNA from 1 species
AACGAACGCUGGCGGCAUGCCUAACACAUGCAAGUCGAACGAGACCUUCGGGUCUAUUGGCGCACGGGUGCGUCACGCGUGGGAACCUGCCCUUAGGUUCGGAAUACCUCCCCGAAAGGGGUGCUAAUACCGGAUAAUGUCUUCUAACCAAAGAUUUAUCGCCUUUGGAUGGGCCCGCGUUGGAUUAGCUCGUUGGUAGGGUAAAAGCCUACCAAGGCGACGAUCCAUAGCUGGUCUGAGAGGAAGAUCAGCCACACUGGGACUGAGACACGGCCCAGACUCCUACGGGAGGCAGCAGUGGGGGAUAUUGGAAAAUGGGCGAAAGCCUGAUCCAGCAAUGCCGGGUGAGUGAUGAAGGUCUUAGGGUUGUAAAGCUCUUUUACCCGGGAUGAUAAUGACAGUACCGGGAGAAUAAGCUCCGGCUAACUCCGUG